rnacentral:rRNA from 1 species
UACGUAGGGUGCAAGCGCUGUCCGGAAUUAUUGGGCGUAAAGAGCUCGUAGGCGGUCUGUCGCGUCGGAUGUGAAAAUCCAGGGCUCAACCCUGGACCUGCAUUCGAUACGGGCAGACUAGAGUUCGGUAGGGGAGACUGGAAUUCCUGGUGUAGCGGUGAAAUGCGCAGAUAUCAGGAGGAACACCGGUGGCGAAGGCGGGUCUCUGGGCCGAAACUGACGCUGAGGAGCGAAAGCGUGGGGAGCAAACAGG